rnacentral:rRNA from 1 species
ACGAACGCUGGCGGCACGCUUAACACAUGCAAGUCGAACGAGAGAAGAGGAGCUUGCUUUUCUGAUCUAGUGGCGGACGGGUGAGUAACACGUGAGCAAUCUGCCUUUCAGAGGGGGAUACCGAUUGGAAACGAUCGUUAAUACCGCAUAACAUAAUUGAACCGCAUGAUUUGAUUAUCAAAGAUUUAUCGCUGAAAGAUGAGCUCGCGUCUGAUUAGCUAGUUGGUAAGGUAACGGCUUACCAAGGCGACGAUCAGUAGCCGGACUGAGAGGUUGAUCGGCCACAUUGGGACUGAGACACGGCCCAGACUCCUACGGGAGGCAGCAGUGGGGAAUAUUGCACAAUGGAGGAAACUCUGAUGCAGCGAUGCCGCGUGAGGGAAGAAGGUUUUAGGAUUGUAAACCUCUGUCUUCAGGGACGAAAAAUGACGGUACCUGAGGAGGAAGCUCCGGCUAACUACGUGCCAGCAGCCGCGGUAAUACGUAGGGAGCGAGCGUUGUCCGGAAUUACUGGGUGUAAAGGGAGCGUAGGCGGGAUCGCAAGUCAGAUGUGAAAACUAUGGGCUUAACCCAUAAACUGCAUUUGAAACUGUGGUUCUUGAGUGAAGUAGAGGUAAGCGGAAUUCCUAGUGUAGCGGUGAAAUGCGUAGAUAUUAGGAGGAACAUCAGUGGCGAAGGCGGCUUACUGGGCUUUAACUGACGCUGAGGCUCGAAAGCGUGGGGAGCAAACAGGAUUAGAUACCCUGGUAGUCCACGCCGUAAACGAUGAUUACUAGGUGUGGGGGGACUGACCCCUUCCGUGCCGCAGCAAACGCAAUAAGUAAUCCACCUGGGGAGUACGACCGCAAGGUUUAAACUCAAAGGAAUUGACGGGGGCCCGCACAAGCAGUGGAGUAUGUGGAUUAAUUCGAAGCAACGCGAAGAACCUUACCAGGUCUUGACAUCGUAUGCAUAGCUCAGAGAUGAGUGAAAUCUCUUCGGAGACAUAUAGACAGGUGGUGCAUGGUUGUCGUCAGCUCGUGUCGUGAGAUGUUGGGUUAAGUCCCGCAACGAGCGCAACCCUUACUGUUAGUUGCUACGCAAGAGCACUCUAGCAGGACUGCCGUUGACAAAACGGAGGAAGGUGGGGAUGACGUCAAAUCAUCAUGCCCCUUAUGACCUGGGCCUCACACGUACUACAAUGGCUGUCAACAGAGGGAAGCAAAGCCGCGAGGUGGAGCAAACCCCUAAAAGCAGUCUUAGUUCGGAUUGUAGGCUGCAACCCGCCUACAUGAAGUCGGAAUUGCUAGUAAUCGCAGAUCAGCAUGCUGCGGUGAAUACGUUCCCGGGCCUUGUACACACCGCCCGUCACGCCAUGGGAGUCGGUAACACCCGAAGCCUGUAGUCUAACCGCAAGGAGGACGCAGUCGAAGGUGGGAUUGAUGACUGGGGUG